rnacentral:rRNA from 1 species
ACUGCGGACGGCUCAUUAGAACAGUUAUAGUUUAUUUGAUGGUUCCUUUUACGUGGAUAACCGUGGUAAUUCUAGAGCUAAUACAUGCAAAGAUGGGGGACCCUGUGGAAACCCAGCAUUUAUUAGAUCCAAGCCAUCGGCCUCGUGCCUUGCUUGAGGACUCAUAAUAACUUUGCGGAUCGCAUGGCCUUGCGCCGGCGACGUGUCAUUCAAGUUUCUGACCUAUCAGUUAGUCGGUAGUGUAUUGGACUACUGAGGCAUUGACGGGUAACGGAGAAUUAGGGUUCGAUUCCGGAGAGGGAGCCUGAGAAACGGCUACCACAUCUAAGGAAGGCAGCAGGCGCGUAAAUUACCCAAUCCUGACUCAGGGAGGUAGUGACAAAAAAUCACAAUAUUUCACCCAAUGGGUUAAAUAAUUGUAUUGAGAACAGGCUAAACAUGUUACCGAUAAACUAUUGGAGGGCAAGUCUGGUGCCAGCAGCCGCGGUAAUUCCAGCUCCAAUAGCGUAUACUAACGUUGUUGCAGUUAAAAAGCUCGUAGUUGGAUUUCUAAGCCUGCCAGUUCCGUCUGACCUUUAAGAGUCAGCACGGUGUCUGGCGUGUCUUAUUAUGCGUUUAAUGGCGUUUGCUAUUCGCUUAGCGAGUGCCGUGARARCGCGUGUUUACUUUGARAAAAUUARAGUGUUCAAAACAGUCUUACSAUUGUAUAUCAUARCAUGGAAUAAUAACUGAUGACAACGGUCUCUGUUGUUGGCU